ACGCCGAAUGCCAGUGGGACUACAUAACCGUAGUGUUGCGGGUUCGAAUCCCGUCACGCUUCGCAAGAGGCGUGUAGCUCAAUCCGGUUAGAGCAUACGACCCUUGUCUCACGAUUCCUUGUCGGUGCGGU
rnacentral:Y_RNA from 1 species